rnacentral:lncRNA from 1 species
AUGCUAAGCACACGCCUGCUGCGUGCUGGCCCAUCCCGCCCCCCCACGCCAAGCACACGCCUGAACACGCCCAGCGCCCGCUCCCCCAUGCCGGCCACCCCGUCCCCUCCGGUGCCGAGUGCCACAGUGCCGUGGGGCUUGGGGGGGGGGGGCGGGGGGGGCUGUGGGAGGUGUGGGGUGGAGUGGGGGGGGGCCGUGGGGCAGGGGGAGGUGUGGGGCGGGGGUGCGGGCGCCCUCUUCCUUUGCAGGUCUGCGCCAUGGGGCAGAGCCCCGCCGUGGGGCAGAGCCCCCCAUCGCUGCCGUGGGGCAGAGCCCCCCCCCCCACCCCGUCGCCGCCGUCUCUCUCUCUCCUUCACUUCCUUCCUCCAGGGCUGGGGGGGGGGGGCGGGUGGGGGGCCUGGGGGGGGGACCCAACCCCCCCCACCACCAGAGCUGGGGUCAGGAGUGCGGGGGCAGAGCCCUGUGCCCCCUCCAGCCCCCUGUCUGUCUGUCCGUCUGUCCAUCAUCUCCAGUCCCCCGUCUGUCUGUCCAUCAUCUCCAUCCAUCCCUCUGUCUGUCUUUUCAUCUGUGGGUUUGUCCAUCUGUCUGUCCCUUCUUCUAUUGGCUCUUCUCUCCCCCCAGCUGUCUGUCUGUCCCUCCUUCUACUUGGCCCUUUUGCCAUCCCUCUGUCCAGCCUUUUGUCCAUUUGUCCGUCCAUUCAGCUUCCAUUUAUCCAUCCGUCCAGCUGCCCUCUCCCCUUUCCCCCGUCCCUCUGUCUGUCUUCUCUCCCAGCCUUUCACCUAUCCAUGUGUCUGUCCAUCCCUCUGCCUGUUCUCCUACUCAUCCUUCCAAGUCUCUGUCCGUCUGUCCUUUUAUCUGUCUGUUUCUUCAUUCCCCCGUCUGUCUGUCCAUCCUCCCUUUCAUCUGUCCCUCUGUCCCUCCAUUCCUCCUCUCUGCCAUCCCUCUGUCUGUCCUCUCACACAUCCUUUAUCUGUUCGCCCAUCCUUUCAUUUGUCCAUCUGCGUGUCGUCGUCCCCCCACUCCGUGUCCGUCUGUCCUUCCCCCACCGGGGGCACCCAAAACCCCUGGGUGGGGGGCACAGGGACCCCCAAAAUGGGCUCAGGGACCCCAAAAGCGGGGUGCAGGGACCCCGGGUGCCCCAGGGGGCCGGGGGUGGGGGGCGCACAGGGGCUCCCCACUGUCCCCAAGGGGGGGGGCUGUCACCCCCCCCCAGGGCCCCCCCCGAGCCCCCCCCCGGGGCCCCCCCAAGCAGCGGGGCCGGGGCUGGGGGGGCCGAAGCCAUUUAAUCUCUUUUCUCUUUGUCUCCUCUCUCGCCCCCCCUCCCCCCGCCCGUGUGUCCCCAUCCCCCCCCCCGCACCCCCUUGUCCCCCCCCACCCCCUUCCCCCCUCCCCUCCCCCGCUCUCUCCUCCUGCCUUUUCUUCCGGUGCUAA